CCCUUAGAUGUCCGGGGCUGCACGCGCGCUACACUGACAUGUUCAACAAGUUUCUCCUAGUUCGACAGGACUGGGAAAUCUUUGAACGCAUGUCGUGAUAGGGAUAGAUCAUUGCAAUUAUUGAUCUUGAACGAGGAAUUCCUAGUAAACGCGAGUCAUCAGCUCGCAUUGAUUACGUCCCUGCCCUUUGUACACACCGCCCGUCGCACCUACCGAUUGAAUGUUUCGGUGAAGAUUCCGGAUAGGACUGAUUUGAUUUAUUUCAUUUCUGACCUAAAAGCUAUCUAAACCUCAACAUUUAGAGGAAGGUGAAGUCGUAACA
rnacentral:rRNA from 1 species